rnacentral:lncRNA from 1 species
GAUAAUUUGUUGUAUAUUAUCUUAAUCAUAAUAUUCUUUAUUGGGCUAGUUGAGCUCACCCUUUUCCUUGUUGUUCCAUUUUCUUCUCAGGAGGUGAGAACAUAGCAAGAUCGAGUCGGGAUAUGGAAUGAAGGUUCUAGAGAGAGUUGUUUAGUAGUCCUCACCAUUUUUGUAAAAUAAUGUAUCAAUAAUUAUGAUGGGGAUUUAUUUGCGUGUGGAUAUUGUCUAGACGACAAUAUCUGUAUUUAAACUCAC